rnacentral:rRNA from 1 species
UACGUAGGGACCAAGCGUUGUUCGGAUUUACUGGGCGUAAAGGGCGCGUAGGCGGCAAUUCAAGUCAGUUGUGAAAUCUCCGGGCUUAACUCGGAACGGUCAAGUGAUACUGUCGGGCUAGAGUACAGAAGGGGCAACUGGAAUUCUCGGUGUAGCGGUGAAAUGCGUAGAUAUCGAGAGGAACACCUGCGGCGAAGGCGGGUUGCUGGGCUGAUACUGACGCUGAUGCGCGAAAGCGUGGGGAGCGAUCCGG